rnacentral:rRNA from 1 species
GACGAACGCUGGCGGCGUGCUUAACACAUGCAAGUCGAACGGAAAGGCCUCAGCUUGCUGGGGUACUCGAGUGGCGAACGGGUGAGUAACACGUGGGUGAUCUGCCUUGCACUCUGGGAUAAGCUUGGGAAACUGGGUCUAAUACCGGAUAUGAACUGCCUUUAGUGUGGUGGUUGGAAAGUUUUUUCGGUGCAAGUUGAGCUCGCGGCCUAUCAGCUUGUUGGUGGGGUAAUGGCCUACCAAGGCGUCGACGGGUAGCCGGCCUGAGAGGGUGUACGGCCACAUUGGGACUGAGAUACGGCCCAGACUCCGACGGGAGGCAGCAGUGGGGAAUAUUGCACAAUGGGCGGAAGCCUGAUGCAGCGACGCCGCGGGGGGGAUGACGGCCUUCGGGUUGUAAAAUCCUUUCGACAGGGACGAAGCUUUUUGUGACGGUACCUGUAGAAGAAGCACCGGCUAACUACGUG